AAUGAACGCUGGCGGCGGGCCUAAUACAUGCAAGUCGAGCGGAGUGGCGGACGGAUGAGUAAUGACUAGGUAUCUGCCUGGUAGUUGGGGAUAACGUCCGGAAACGGGCGCUAAUACCGCAUACUAUUUGAUGAGCCUUGGACGGAUUAGCUCGUUGGUGGGGUAAAGGCCUACCAAGGCGACGUACCGUAACUGGUCUGAGAGGAUGAUCAGUCACACUGGAACUGAGACACGGUCCAGACUCCUACGGGAGGCAGCAGUGGGGAAUAUUGGACAAUGGGCGAAAGCCUGAUCCAGCCAUGCCGCGUGUGUGAAGAAGGUCUUCGGAUUGUAAAGCUCUGUAAUUUGGGAAGCGUUACCAACAGAAUAAGCACCGGCUAACUUCGUGCCAGCAGCCGCGGUAAUAC
rnacentral:rRNA from 1 species